GAUGAAGAACGUAGCGAAAUGCGAUACGUAGUGUGAAUUGCAGAAUUCCGCGAAUCAUCGAGUUUUUGAACGCAAGUUGCGCCCGCCAGCACUCUGGCGGGCAUGCCUGUUCGAGCGUCAUUUCAACCAUCAAGCCCCAGGCUUGCGUUGGAGCCCUGCGGCUGCCGCAGCCUCCUAAAAGCAGUGGCGGGCUCGCUAUCACACCGAGUGCAGUAGAUUACUCUUCGCUCAGGGCGUGCAGCGGGUUCCGGCCGUGAAACCCCCUACUUUUAAAGGUUGACCUCGGAUCAGGUAGGAAUACCCGCUGAACUUAAGCAUAUCAAUAAGCGGAGGA
rnacentral:misc_RNA from 1 species